rnacentral:rRNA from 1 species
CCUACGGGAGGCAGCAGUAAGGAAUAUUGGUCAAUGGAGGCAACUCUGAACCAGCCAUGCCGCGUGCAGGAAGACUGCCCUAUGGGUUGUAAACUGCUUUUAUCCGGGAAUAAACCUGCUUACGUGUAAGUAGCUGAAUGUACCGGAAGAAUAAGGAUCGGCUAACUCCGUGCCAGCAGCCGCGGUAAUACGGAGGAUCCAAGCGUUAUCCGGAUUUAUUGGGUUUAAAGGGUGCGUAGGCGGCCUGUUAAGUCAGGGGUGAAAGACGGUAGCUCAACUAUCGCAGUGCCCUUGAUACUGAUGGGCUUGAAUGGACUAGAGGUAGGCGGAAUGAGACAAGUAGCGGUGAAAUGCAUAGAUAUGUCUCAGAACACCGAUUGCGAAGGCAGCUUACUAUGGUCUUAUUGACGCUGAGGCACGAAAGCGUGGGGAUCAAACAGGAUUAGAUACCCUGGUAGUCCACGCCCUAAACGAUGAACACUCGCUGUUGGGUCGAUACACAGUCAGCGGCGUAAGACGAACGACGUUAAGUUAGUUCCGUACCGUCGGGAGGUACCGGACCCGCCGAACGGGUAGGAAACGUACGAAAGUAGUAAGUUAGUACGGACGUAGAGACGUUACGGCCGACGGACGACGACGGAGGGGAGGUAGGG